UCCGGUUUGACAGCCAUGCAGCACCUGUGUGUAGGUCCCUUACGGGAAGGAAUCCAUCUCUGGAAACCGUCCUACCAUGUCAAACGCUGGUAAGGUUCUGCGCGUUGCUUCGAAUUAAACCACAUGCUCCACCGCUUGUGCAGGCCCCCGUCAAUUUCUUUGAGUUUUAACCUUGCGGCCGUACUCCCCAGGCGGAUGACUUAACGCGUUAGCUGCGCCACCGAAACUCCAAGAGCCCCGACAGCUAGUCAUCAUCGUUUACGGCGUGGACUAC
rnacentral:misc_RNA from 1 species